UUUGUUGUAGGAUUUUGGAGUUUUGCUCUUCUUGUCUUGCAGGUUCAGCUUUCCGUUUGGUGCGUCGUGUUUGUACUAUUUCUGGACUGUGUUACGUCCACUCUUCAUGGUUCUCAUGGAUUGUUUAUUUGCUGGAUUACCUUGUUGUAAAUGAACUACUUGUCUUGCAGGUUCAGCUUUCCGUUUGGUGCGUCGUGUUUGUACUAUUUCUGGACUGUGUUACGUCCACUCUUCAUGGUUCUCAUGGAUUGUUUAUUUGCUGGAUUACCUUGUUGUAAAUGAACUCCUGUUGUAAAUUAAUUUUCUAUCCCACUUGAAACAAUCUAUGUUAUGUAAAACGAUUGUCAUACGGAUUAUAAC
rnacentral:lncRNA from 1 species